rnacentral:rRNA from 1 species
UACGUAGGGCGCAAGCGUUGUCCGGAAUUAUUGGGCGUAAAGAGCUCGUAGGCGGUUUGUCGCGUCUGCUGUGAAAACGCGAGGCUCAACCUCGCGCCUGCAGUGGGUACGGGCAGACUAGAGUGCGGUAGGGGAGAUUGGAAUUCCUGGUGUAGCGGUGGAAUGCGCAGAUAUCAGGAGGAACACCGAUGGCGAAGGCAGAUCUCUGGGCCGUAACUGACGCUGAGGAGCGAAAGCAUGGGGAGCGAACAGG